rnacentral:misc_RNA from 1 species
AAAAAUGAUUAAAUUAUCUCGAUUAAAUAAUUAUAUUUUAAAAAUCAAUUUAACCUUAAUUGACACUUGUUUAUGAAUACAAAGUUUUUUAUUUAAUUUAUGCAUUUUAAAAAUCAUCUUAAACCUUCAUCACUUAUUAGCCAAACCCACAACUUUCUUAUCAAUGAAUCCAAUUUAUUAUUACAGAAAACAAUUGCACAAAUCUUGACACAACAUUACACCACACAACUAAUUAUUACUUUAUCAGUGUAACUUAAUCCAACUAUUUUAUCACUAUAACGACAUAAAAUAUGCUUCAAUUUAUAUUAUGCCUUUUUUUUCAUUCAACAUGUUCAUGUACCUUAUAUUCAUUAUAUAUAUCAUUAUUAACAAAAACUAUAAUUUUUAUACUGCCACACACGCAUAACACUUGCAAGACAAAAUAGAAAUGUCAACCGACUAAACGAUGCUGAACCUAAAGCUUAAUCAUACAACAAAAGCAUAACUAUCUUGAUGACUCCAAAAUAAUGCAUGAAGCCAAAGAAACUCAAACAUUUCAGAAUCCAUGUGUGACGAAAUAAAGAACACUUUUCAUUCAUUUUUAUCAAAGUAAGAAUAAGAGCCAAACCCUUAAUUCUUAACUUGACAACCAAAUUCCACAUAGUAGUAACUAUAAGAUCAUGAUUUACAAUCUAAGAGGGAGUGGUAGGGAUUGAGAGAUCCGCAAAAGAGUAUUAAGGAAAUUACUCGAAAAGAUAACAGCAAACAUGGAACUAUAAUGCUUACACGAUAUAAAAAAAAGGGUAGUCACACUUCUACACAAUAAACAGCUUCAGAGAAUAACAACUAAGCCGAACUGAUUGCUUGUACACAUGAAAUCAUUUAAUCAUAGUAUAAACAAACAAGUCAUCCGAACAACCCAUCGAGGCAAAGCUAAGCACAAUACAAUUUGAACCAGAGAGAACUGAAAACAGAGGCUUCAAAGACGGAAGAAAACGAACCAUUUGCAUCUGACCCACAGUAAAUAGCAACGUACACACUUCAUACCAAUGAAUUCUCUAAAUUGUCCUUAGCUCACAAUGAUAAAGAUGUAAAAAAAAACAUUAAAACGAUAAAAGAUGAAAGAAACUUUACAUGAAAAAAAACAAACAGGAAAGGAAAGUGAUGAUUCUAACAAGGAAAGGAAGGAAACCGAUGCUUAUGUACAACCUAAUCAUGGAUCCUACACCAAACGAAUCGAUAUGUUUCAUUCAAUACCAUAUUAAUAAAUCACCAAUUCCACUACCAGCAGCGAACCACUUGAAUAAUGAGGCUUUUCGACAUCAGAAAAGUGUCAUCUUUUAAGAUAGCAAGAGAAACAACUAGUGAGAGGAUCAAAGAAGGCGUUAUGAAGGAGAAAGUAUUACCUUCUCCUAGGCAGCGUACUGAGACGAGAAGCGAGCUAGCGACGACCACAACUUGAUUAUGAUUUUUUUAACAGCUAAGUAGAGAUGUAGAAAUAGAUUCAAGAAUACCUUUCAAGUCUAAGUGAUUGCUGCCAGAAAAAUCUUACACUUUGAUUAUGAAUUUCGGAGAAAACCUCUAUCUCUUUUACUUCUCUUUUUCUUAGAAAUUCCCAGACUAAAAUUUCUCCGAAAAUCUUGCUCUCUAAAAAUGGCCACUCCCAAAAUAAAAAAAAUCCCCCUUAUUCGAAACAAAAAUAGAAUAAAUAUAGGGGAACCAUUAGGGUUUCCGAGAUUGAGUGAAAUACUUUAUCAAACCUUUGCCCCCUUUCAAAAUUUGAAACUCGAUUCCUGCACCAAUUUGGGGGAAACACCUUUUCUGAGUUUUCAACUUUUUUCCCAGAAAGGAAAGAGGGAUAGAUGGCUAGAUGAAUCUCAUCGUUCUUAAGCCUUGACGUGGCGCAAUCCUAGGCCAUGAGGGUGAUUCCGCGUGCCUGCUAUGAUACUG